rnacentral:sRNA from 1 species
GGCUUCCAUUCACUUGGUUUUUAUUGUUUCGACAUUUGCCGUUUGACAGCAUUAUCUUCCUCUUUGAGAUGUUUUAUAUGCGAUUCAUCAAAAUUUUUGUACCGCUUCAUUGAUUCCAGAAGCUUAAUUACUUUUUUUUAUGUCAAUGGACCGAAUGAUAUUUGCUUUCAUAGUUUUUAUUCUUUUUUACCAUAGGACCAAACUAUAAAUUUUAUAUUCUUGUAACUCUUAACUUUUUCAUUUUCUAACCAAAUAUUAAC